rnacentral:rRNA from 1 species
CCUACGGGCGGCAGCAGUGGGGAAUAUUGCACAAUGGGCGCAAGCCUGAUGCAGCCAUGCCGCGUGUGUGAAGAAGGCCUUCGGGUUGUAAAGCACUUUCAGCGGGGAGGAAGGCGUUAAGGUUAAUAACCUUGGCGAUUGACGUUACCCGCAGAAGAAGCACCGGCUAACUCCGUGCCAGCAGCCGCGGUAGUACGGAGGGUGCAAGCGUUAAUCGGAAUUACUGGGCGUAAAGCGCACGCAGGCGGUCUGUCAAGUCGGAUGUGAAAUCCCCGGGCUCAACCUGGGAACUGCAUUCGAAACUGGCAGGCUAGAGUCUUGUAGAGGGGGGUAGAAUUCCAGGUGUAGCGGUGAAAUGCGUAGAGAUCUGGAGGAAUACCGGUGGCGAAGGCGGCCCCCUGGACAAAGACUGACGCUCAGGUGCGAAAGCGUGGGGAGCAAACAGGAUUAGAUACCCUUGUAGUC